rnacentral:rRNA from 1 species
AGUGAACGCUGGCGGUAGGCCUAACACAUGCAAGUCGAACGGCAGCACAGUAAGAGCUUGCUCUUACGGGUGGCGAGUGGCGGACGGGUGAGGAAUACAUCGGAAUCUACUUUUUCGUGGGGGAUAACGUAGGGAAACUUACGCUAAUACCGCAUACGACCUACGGGUGAAAGCAGGGGAUCUUCGGACCUUGCGCGAUUGAAUGAGCCGAUGUCGGAUUAGCUAGUUGGCGGGGUAAAGGCCCACCAAGGCGACGAUCCGUAGCUGGUCUGAGAAGAUGAUCAGCCACACUGGAACUGAGACACGGUCCAGACUCCUACGGGAGGCAGCAGUGGGGAAUAUUGGACAAUGGGCGCAAGCCUGAUCCAGCCAUACCGCGUGGGUGAAGAAGGCCUUCGGGUUGUAAAGCCCUUUUGUUGGGAAAGAAAAGCAGCAGGUUAAUACCCCGCUGUUCUGACGGUACCCAAAGAAUAAGCACCGGCUAACUUCGUG